rnacentral:rRNA from 1 species
CCUACGGGCGGCUGCAGUGGGGAAUAUUGGACAAUGGGCGAAAGCCUGAUCCAGCCAUGCCGCGUGUGUGAAGAAGGCCUUCGGGUUGUAAAGCACUUUCAGUGGGGAAGAAAGCCUUGGGGCUAAUACCCUCGAGGAAGGACAUCACCCACAGAAGAAGCACCGGCUAACUCCGUGCCAGCAGCCGCGGUAAUACGGAGGGUGCGAGCGUUAAUCGGAAUUACUGGGCGUAAAGUGCGCGUAGGCGGUCUGAUAAGCCGGUUGUGAAAGCCCCGGGCUCAACCUGGGAACGGCAUCCGGAACUGUCAGGCUAGAGUGCAGGAGAGGAAGGUAGAAUUCCCGGUGUAGCGGUGAAAUGCGUAGAGAUCGGGAGGAAUACCAGUGGCGAAGGCGGCCUUCUGGACUGACACUGACGCUGAGGUGCGAAAGCGUGGGUAGCAAAUAGGAUUAGAUACCCCUGUAGUC